rnacentral:rRNA from 1 species
GAUGAACGCUGGCGGCGUGCCUAACACAUGCAAGUCGAACGAAGCACCUUACCUGAUUCUUCGGAUGAAAGUUUGGUGACUGAGUGGCGGACGGGUGAGUAACGCGUGGGUAACCUGCCCUGUACAGGGGGAUAACAGCUGGAAACGGCUGCUAAUACCGCAUAAGCGCACGAGGAGACAUCUCCUUGUGUGAAAAACUCCGGUGGUACAGGAUGGGCCCGCGUCUGAUUAGCUGGUUGGCAGGGUAACGGCCUACCAAGGCAACGAUCAGUAGCCGGUCUGAGAGGAUGAACGGCCACAAUGGAACUGAGACACAGUCCAAACUCCUACGGGAAGCAGCAGUGGGGAAUAUUGCACAAUGGGGGAAACCCUGAUGCAGCAACGCCGCGUGAGUGAAGAAGUAUUUCGGUAUGUAAAGCUCUAUCAGCAGGGAAGAUGAUGACGGUACCUGACUAAGAAGCGCCGGCUAAAUACGUG